rnacentral:rRNA from 1 species
UCAGUCCGUCGUGUUGCAGCUGCCGUAGGGUGCACUUGACAUCAUGCUGGCUCAAAUCGUUCGAAACAAGCCAUCUCUGGAGAACUUUCGCGUGUAAAGCGCAACACCUUCGACCUGAGAUCAGGCAAGACUACCCGCUGAAUUUAAGCAUAUUAAUAAGCGGAGGAAAAGAAACUAACCAGGA